rnacentral:rRNA from 1 species
UACGAAGGGGGCUAGCGUUGCUCGGAAUCACUGGGCGUAAAGGGUGCGUAGGCGGGUCUUUAAGUCAGGGGUGAAAUCCUGGAGCUCAACUCCAGAACUGCCUUUGAUACUGAGGAUCUUGAGUUCGGGAGAGGUGAGUGGAACUGCGAGUGUAGACGGUGAAAUUCGUAGAUAUUCGCAAGAACACCAGUGGCGAAGGCGGCUCACUGGCCCGAUACUGACGCUGAGGUGCGAAAGCGUGGGGAGCCAAACAGG